CAAAUAUUUAUAAUAUUGUUCAUUUUAAACUGUUCUCCCAGGCUGGCAUGAAAAACCCGAUGUGCCACACACUACUUGGCUUCACCUUCAGAUUUUGACUGCUAUGAAAAAUGAGAGGUUUCUUCCUAUGCUCUGUAGUCUGUGGAGAAAGUACAUCUAUAAUCAAGGCCAUGUUCCGACUCUGGGGAUAAGUAACUUAAUAAAACAAAUAAAGUGUUCAUCUUGGCACAGAGAGGGCAAAAACACAUCACUAUUACUUGACUGCACUAAUGCAGACUUCAAGACCUGGAUGAGAGGACUUCUUGCUCAAAUUGCUAUAGUGAAUAUACUUUUCAAAUAGAAAGUGAAGACCAAAUUAUUCAUAAGAUCUAAACAAAUACUUAAGGGUGACCUCUCUCUUUGUGGAUUCCAAAUCACUUCAUUAUAAUCAAGUCCUAUGUAGGUAACACUGCUGGGAAAGUUGUUGUGGGUCUCCUAUAGUAACAAUAAAAAUUAGUAAUAGCAAUCACUAAAGAAAAUAGAUUGGUUAGCUUGUUAUGUAACCAAGGCACUGAUGUUGGAUAAUUCUUUCUACUUUACCAUACUGCAUCUACUAAGCUUAACUGCUUAGGCUUAUAUUUUACUGUAUAUAAUACAUUAUUUUAUACCAUACUAUAUAAAAUAUAUAUAUCUAUUAUAUAAAAUACUUUACCAUAAUAAACAAACUCUAAAAGCAUUUACAUCCUAUGAGAAAAAAAGUUCCAGAAAAAUGCAUAUGAUGAAAAGACAGGACAUGAACAGCUUAGCAAAACUCCAUCUUUUGGCUUUGAGCUCAUUUGAUCAAACUUAUUUCAGUAACAAAUUCUUGAUUAUAAUAAUAGACUUCCACUGAUCGACUAUGAAGCGAGGAUAUGACCCUUUAUGGAUCAAGAAAUCAAAAAUUUCCAAAACAAAAAUUAUGUUAACAUCUUCAAUUUCUGUUCUCCUGACUUUCAAACAUCCAAGCCAAACCAGCACGAGUAGAUUUUUUUUAUUUAGAAUUGGUAUUGGGAGCACAAUAAUAAUAAUAAUAAUAAUAAUAGUAAUAAUAUUGCAUAUAUGAUAAUAGUAUCAUUUAAAGUGUGGUGUCUUUAUAAAUUGUUCAGACUGGGCUUUAGUACGUUAUUACUGUCUUCCCCUUUUCCAACCUGUAUGAGCUUUUUGCUCUUGGGAAACCAGGUCUAGCAGAUAGCCAGAGGAAGAUCCGAGGAUUUUCCUUGCUGCAAAAGUGAAGUUCAUUCAUAACAAAGGAAAUUAUGAAUUGUUAUUCUGCACCAUCUCUGUGGCUGUUUCAUCAGAAUACGGACCAGUCUCCAAGCUGUUUGAAGAAGAAGAGCUGUGCCCUGGUUUUUGCCACUUAUGUCAUAAUAUACUUGCUACAACGGGCAAUUAAGCUUUACCUUAAAAAUACAUUCCUAAUCCAUGUAUUUAUAUGAACAAAAGAUUAAAAAUUUGUAAUCACAUAUUUCCACCACUCAUCUCACUAAAAGCAAGCCUUUUAACUAACCAGCAACUUGGCAAAUUUUUACUAUCUUCUUUUUCCAGGAGGUCUUGAAUUAAUACCUAUCCUCCUGGAAAAACUGAUGAGACGCUCCUUGGUGUCAAAAAAAGAAACAUACAAUGCACAGAGCUUGUACCACAGUGUGGAUGGAAAUUUGAUAUGUAACAUGAGUUAGAAGGAAAAAAAGAAUGUGAGGAAAGUAUUAAAAUUUUAUUUGAAGUUCUGUAGGUCACUAAGUGCAAUACAUGCUCCUCACACAGUAGAAAUAUUUUAAAAUGCAUCAGACUUGAAAAAGGUGAAGAGAGAACUGUUCACCUUUGAUACCAGAGGCAGAUACCUCUUCCACCUGUAGCACCUAUUGGUGUAAGUCUUACUGGGUAUGGUUCCUUUUGGUGGAAGCGAAAGGACUUUUUUUUAAUGCCAGUCCAGCUUGGAAGCGUAAUUCCUUUACUACAUGAGAACAUCUAGUUCUAUGUAAUGCCCUUUGUAAGUUGUAGUGGGGUUUUUCCAUGU